UUGAUUUUCAAGCUUGGUGUAUGUGGAACCUUAAACUUUUCUUCUUCAAUUCUUGCAAUAUAUGGCUCUUCCUUUAGCUCUUGGUCUUAGGGUGAAUUUUAAUUAAAGUAAGAAGUUGAUUUGGUGAGAGUUUGGUUUGGAUUUGGUGGAAGAACGAAAAAGCAAAAUCUUCACUUUUCAAUAGCAUAAGGUGCGACAAUAAGAUGGGUGGAGAAGACAACCCAUUUUUCAUUUUUCUUUGUCAUUUCUUUCAUGCUUAGUUAGGUGACACAUGGAGGUUUUAGGUGAAGUGGUGAAAAAUAUGAAGGACUAAACUGAAUUUUAUCUUUAAACUUUCCAUAUUCACACUUUAACCUACUAAACUCUUUACCAUGUUUCAAUUUAGUUUUUGAACUUUCAAUAUUCAUAGAUAACCUACUAAAUUAUGCUUUUAGCUUUUAGAAGUCUUUUUCACUUAAGUAAACAUGUCAGAUUUUAACAAGCACUUGAAACAAGCAUGUCGGGAAACCGUAAGCACCUCCCAAAAGUGACUCGUUUCCAACUCGCUAAUCAUACUGUCUACUUUAUUUCUGGAUAUGCCCGUUUCUUUAUUUGAGUUUUCUAUGAUUCAGUUAUUAGCAAUUUAGAGUUAUGUUAGCACCUCCCCUAAGUAGCUCAGGAUAAGCUAACACCUCCCCUAAUAUCAUUUGCUCUAAUAGUGAAAUAGUCUAACCCAUACCUAGUCAUGUCACUAUUCGUAACUAUGGGUUUCAUGAUGUUACACUAUUAUAAUCUAAUAUCCCCAUGCAAGCUGGAGAAUGUAUGUUAAUCAUUUCCAGCUUGGAGAUAAAGUAGUGGAAAGAAGACACUGCUAGAGGUUUUGUGUAAAUGUCAGCAAGCUGUGAUGUGGAGGAUAUAGGUAGUAGAUGGAUGAGACUUGAAGCUGCACUUUUCCGGACAAUGUGACAGUCAAGUUCAAUAUGUUUUGUUCUUUCAUGAAAGGUGGGAUUAGCUGCAAUGUGUAAUGCAGACUGUUUGUCACAGCGGAGGCUAACAGGAAGUUUGUGAGAGAUCUGUAUAUCACCCAUGAGAUAAACUAGCCAUUGGAUUUCACAAGUAACGGCUGCAAGGGCCCUAUAUUCUGCUUUAGAAAAUGAUCUGCUGAUAGUGCUUUGCUUCUUAGAUUUCUAGCUGAUGAGUGAUUCUCCUAGGUAUAUGCUAAACCCAAUAAUGGAUCUUCUAGUGUCAAUGCAUCCUGCCCAAUCAACAUCACUAAAUGCUUUAAAAUGCAUGGUAGAGGAUGAUGGAAAGAAAAGCCCUUCGCCAGGAGCUGACUUAAUGUAUCUGAGCAGUCUAUGCAAUGCUUUCUGAUGUAUGUCAGUAGGUUUAGAAAGAAACUGGCUAAGUUGCUGAGUGGAGAAAGCAAUGUCCGACCUUGUAUUAUUGAGGUAUAUUAGUCUGCCAAUCAUUUUCCUGUAAGAUACAGCUUCUUCCAAUGAGAGUGGGGUGCCUGAGUCAUUCCUAAGUUUUAAAUGGAGUCCAUUUGAGUGGAGGUAGGUUUUGAAGCUAAAUAACUCGUAUUAGAUAAGAUUUCCAAGGCAUAUUUCCUUUGACAGAUGGAAAUGCCUUUAUUACUUCUUACUAUCUCUAAUCCAAGGAAGAACUUCAAAUUCCCCAAAUCUUUAAUUUUGAAAGAUAUGCCCAUAAAUUGUUUAAUCCUUAAAAUCUCUGAGCUAUCAUUCCCUGCCAAGAUCACAUCAUCAACAUAUACCAGAAUAACAAUAAAAGAAACAUUAUUCUUUCUUAGAAAUAGUGAAUAAUCUGAUUUGGAUUGAGAGUAACCACAGUAAGAAGAUCUUCAGAUAAUUUGGAGAACCAUUGCAUACUUGCCUGUUUUAAUCCAUAUAGAGAUUUUUGCAAUUUGCAAAAUUGAUUAGGCUUGAAAGACUGAAAUCCAGGGGGAGUAGCAUAUAAACUUCUUCAUUGAGAUCCCAAUGAUGGAAUGCAUUAUUGACAUCAAGUUGUUCUAAAAACCAAUUAUUUAUGUCUGCUAAGGCUAGGAUAAGUCUAAUGGUAGUCAUUUUUGCAACUGGGAAGAAAGUUUCAAUGUAAUCCAGUCCUUCUGUUUGUGUAUAGCCCUUUGCUACAAGUCUUGCUUUAAACCUUUCAAUACUGCCAUCAGAUUUAUGCUUGAUUUUAUAAAUACACUUACAUCCGACAAGGAUUUUAUUUGGUGGUAAAUCAAUAGGAGACCAAGUGUGAUUCUGUUCUAAGGCUUUAAUUUCAGCAUCCAUUGCUUAUCUCCAUUAUGGAUAUUUGAUAGCUUGAGUGUAAGAUUUUGGUUCAACAGAAGCAAACACAGAUAAAAUAAAAUUUGAAUAAGAAGGAGAAAGUUUCUGAUAAGAUAGGACUGAAGAUAAAGGAUAUUUGACUGAGGAAAGAUGACUUGCAACAACAUGAUUGCAGUGAAAGUCCUGUAAGUAGGAUGAUGGCUUCCUUUGUCUUGUAGAAGUCCUUGGUACUAAAAUAUUUGUAGUUGAUGCUUCUUGAGAUGAAAUAUAUUGAUAUUGAUAAUGAAUAGAAGAAGUGUCUUGUAGUUGAGGAAAUUCUAGAAAGUCAUAAAUAUUAGUUUCAAAAGGAAAAUAAAACUGAACAUUUCUUGAUAAAAUAUUUCUCUAGAAUGAAGAUCCAUGAGAAUGAAGCCUUUGACUUCGGAUUUGUAUCCCAAAAAGAUACAUCUUCUAGCCCUUGAAUCAAAUUUAUUUCUGUUGACAGCUGAGGUAGAUGUAAAUGAGAGACAACCAAACACUUUAAGAUCUGCAUAGUCAGGCUGUGAUUGAUACAAAUUCUCAAAAGGUGAUUUGUCUUUGAGAAGAGGUGUAGGUAUUCUAUUAAUGAGAAAUACAGAAUGAAUAACAACAUAAGACGAAAAAAUUUUAGGCAAGUGAGAUUGAAAUAGUAAAGCUCUAGCAAUAUUUAAUAUGUGUUGAUGUUUUUUCUCAACAAUGCCAUUUUCUUGAGGUGUUUCUACACAAGUUGUUUGAUGAAUAAUUCCUUUUGUAUUAAAGAAUUCUGUCAUGAGAAAUUCAGGACUAUUAUCUGUCCUUAUGAUUUUUAAAGUUGUGUUAAAUUGAUUUUCUAUGAGAUGAACAAAAGACUGUAAAAUAGUCCUUGUUUCACCUUUUGAUUUCAUUAAGUAAACCCAUGUGUGUCUAGAUUAUCUACAAUAGUUAAAAAAAUACUUAUGACCAUGAAUUGAAGGUAUAGAAAAGGCUCCCAAUAUGUCAGUAUGAACAAGUUGAAACAUUGCAGAACUAAUAGAAGUGCUAAAACAGAAGGGAAGUUUCUUUUGUUUUGCAUAAUGACAGAUGUCACAAGGAUGAUGUAAAGAAUCAAUAGGAAUCAAAGAACAUUUUUUAUUUAAAACCAUUAACCUAGAAAUAGAUGUCCAAGUCUAUAGUGCCACAAAGUAUUUCUAGAAAAAGAAUGCGAAGAAACAUUAAUAGCUUUUACAGUAGCAGCGAAAGGAGAAAGUGGUGUGUGAGAAUUUUGUAAGUAUAAAGUCCUUCAACUACUUUAGCUGAACCAAUCAUCUUCAAUGUAGUGAGAUCCUGUAUAAAGCAUGAAGUACUCUUAAAAAUAAUGCAACACUGUAAGACAGCAGUUAAUUUGGUAUUAGAUAUGAGAUUAAACGUAAAUUCAGGAACAUAAAGAACAUCUGUCAAGAAUAAAAAUCUGGAGAAAUGAACUGUUCCAAAAAUGUAUGCAUGGACCUGAGUAUCCAUUUGGCAACUUUAUUGAAAUAGGUUUAAUUUUCCUAUGAGUUGAGAAUAUUGAUAGAGGAACAGAUGCGAUCUGUUGCUCUUGUGUCCAAGAUCCAAGUCUCAGAAUUUGUAUUUAUCAUGAAUGAGUGAUUACCUGAAGCUUCAUUCUGAAUAGAGGCUGAAUUAGGAGCAGUAGGUGUGUCUGUAAUGACUUGAUUUACUAAAGAGGUAGCAAUUGAUACUGCUUAAGGUUGAUGAUCUAUUAAAGAUAAUAAUUUCUAGAAUUGAUCUUGGGUGAAACUCUUCUGAUUCAUUUGAAUUUUUUCAUUGAUAUCUUGGCUACUUUCAAUAGCAAUGACAUUGUUAGCAGCAUGUACAGGAUGCUUGAACUUAAAACCUGGUAGAAACCUAUGAUUCUUAUAGCAGGUAUCUACUGUAUGCCUUUGUUUGCCACGACUAGGGAGAAAACCUUAUGAUGGAGGGAAGGGGUUCCAUCAUCAAGAUUUGAGACUUUACAUUGGCAUAUAUUGCUCAGUAAGAUCUUUCAAGAACCUUAUCACAUAAUCAUUGUUCAUAUACUGUUGUGCAAUUUGAAUAGCUCCACAAUUACAUGGAUUAUCACAAGUGCAUGCAGGAUAAGGUCUAAAAUUGAUCAAUUCAUCCCAGAGAAUCUUUAAUUGCGUAAAAUAAUCAGUCACAGAGAGCUCACCUUGCUUGAAAUGGUAUAUUUCUUCUUGAAGAUCAGAAAUACGUAUCAUAUUCCCUUAUGAAAACCUAUCUUUUAGAUCAUUCCAGACAUCCACAGAUUUGUCAAUACAAAUUACACUUUGUGCAAUUGAUGGAGAAAGAGAUCGAGUGAGCCAAGAAACCACCAUUGUGUUGCAACGUUCCCAAGUAGAGUAUAUUAGAUCUGUUUUGCAAGAGGAGUUAAAGCCCCAUCUAUAAAUUUGAUCUUGUUUUUGGAGGCUAGAGCCAUUUUCAUCGCUCUUGCCUAAGAAUGAUAAUUGCAACCCGUGAGCAGUAGAGAUACCAAUGCUAAUACAGGAUUCUCAUUGGGGUGCAAGAAGUAUGGAUUAGAUGGAUUUUGUAAGUGAUCAUUAGCUGCAUUGCAAUUUGGUUGGUUGCCGAGAAGGAUCUUGAAGAGAAAUAUUCUUAAGAAGAAACAAAAGGAAAGA